UAAACUCCAAAUUUGUAUGCAGUUGGAACAGCGCCCCUAGCGGCAAACGUAGGCAAACAUUCCAACUCCAUACAAAUCUAAGUCA
rnacentral:pre_miRNA from 1 species